GUAAGGAAUAUUGGUCAAUGGGCGCAAGCCUGAACCAGCCAUGCCGCGUGCAGGAAGACGGCCCUACGGGUUGUAAACUGCUUUUGUACCGGAAUAAACCUUGAUACGUGUAUCAAGCUGAAUGUACGGUAAGAAUAAGGAUCGGCUAACUCCGUGCCAGCAGCCGCGGUAAUACGGAGGAUCCAAGCGUUAUCCGGAUUUAUUGGGUUUAAAGGGUGCGUAGGUGGCCUAUUAAGUCAGGGGUGAAAGACGGUAGCUUAACUAUCGCAGUGCCUUUGAUACUGAUGGGCUUGAAUACAGUUGAAGUGGGCGGAAUGUGACAAGUAGCGGUGAAAUGCAUAGAUAUGUCACAGAACACCGAUUGCGAAGGCAGCUCACUAAAGUGUGAUUGACACUGAGGCACGAAAGCGUGGGGAUCAAACAGG
rnacentral:rRNA from 1 species